UGUAACAUGGCAGUCGAAGCCUUGAAAUGUCAAAUUAGUCUGUUGAUUUUAUCUUCCAGCUAAGUUUAGUUUGCUCUCGAGUGUAUCAUCUUUGGCAUUACUUGUGACAUGUUUAAAGACGUUUUAAUGCAAAAAAACACUGGUUAAAGUGGCCUCAAAACGUUCAAAAGAAGAAAAUGUGGACAAGAAACGGAAUGCAAAUGAUGUUAGAUAACAACUACACGAGAUCUACUGUACCGAAUAAAAGCAUGCCAGUUGGACAUUACAAGCUGAGAAGUGAAGCAGAAGAAUACUGAGAUUGUUGAUCUUAAAGUUCUGCUUAGCUGCAUGGCUUAAAGCCGUAUAAAUUGAAGCAGAAUGUUGGUUUUUCUUGAAUGAUGGUUCUUUGUGUGUAACGAUCUCUACACUUGGAUCGCCUUGGUUGAGCUGUGGGGUGGAAGAAGUUGUGCCAUUUGAAGCCAUCUAUUGAUCCUUCUGACACAAACAAAGCCACACCUCUAGUCACAUUGAUACUUCACUCCACACGACAAGGUCGUAUAUUUCUUCCAAGUGCAAGUCCCAAACAGGUAUUCAGUGGCACCUUAAUUUCUCACUUAAGUUUGAGUCAGUGUAUUAAAUCUCAUCUUCACUCAUUUCCAUUGCAAGAAAAAACAAACUGCGGCCCGGCCCGUAGUACGUAAAAUUCAUUAUAACAUUUUCACUUCUACCGAUGGAGUUACUGAUCGGAAUCCAGAAUCUAGUAAGUCAGCUCAGAAUGUAGGGGGCGAAAUUAAACGGUCGAGAACAGUUCCGAAUCGCGCGCAUUUAAGUCCAAAAUGUCUUGCAAUUAAAACGAAUUGUCAAACAGAUGUUGGAAUAUAGUUCAUUACAAGCUGGUGUCAUGAAAAAUUUCGUCUCGGCCAAGAGAUUAAUUGCCGAAUAGAACAAAAUAAUAAGGAACCAUAGUUGACAAAAAAAAA